rnacentral:rRNA from 1 species
AACGAACGCUGGCGGCAGGCUUGACACAUGCAAGUCGAACGCCCCGCAAGGGGAGUGGCAGACGGGUGAGUAACGCGUGGGAACAUACCCUUUUCUACGGAAUAGCUCUGGGAAACUGGAAUUAAUACCGUAUACGCCCUACGGGGGAAAGAUUUAUCGGGGAAGGAUUGGCCCGCGUUGGAUUAGCUAGUUGGUGGGGUAAAGGCCUACCAAGUCGACGAUCCAUAGCUGAUCUGAGAGUAUGAUCAGCCACAUUGGGACUGAGACACGGCCCAAACUCCUACGGGAGGCAGCAGUGGGGAAUAUUUGGCAAUGGGCGCAAGCCUGAUCCAGCCAUGACGCGUGCGUGAUGAAGGCCUUAGGGUUGUAAAGCUCUUUCACCGAUGAAGAUAAUGACGGUAGUCGGAGAAGAAGCCCCGGCUAACUUCGUGCCAGCAGCCGCGGUAACAC